UGCCCUCCUCUCUCUCUCGUAGUAUUUCUCCGCCGUUGUGAUCGCGGUAUUGCUUGGCGAAGCCCUACCGAGAUCGCUCCACCACCACCUCCGGCACGCCGUCAUGAGCCUCUACAUCACCAUCGCUCGCUGGAUCGAGGAGGUGAAGGUGUCAUCGAGAUGCAUGUGUUCUGAACGCGGAGGUGUCGUCCGUUCGACACUUAAUCAGGACGUUCAUGAUUAGAUCGCGGGACGGAUGGUGAUUGGAUCACGAAGACGUUUUACUACAUCAUCCGCAUUUCUCAACGCUUCCGCUUAGCAAUCUACAAG
rnacentral:lncRNA from 1 species